rnacentral:tRNA from 1 species
GGGCGGAUAGCUCAGUUGGUUAGAGCACUUCUCUUACACAGAAGGGGUCGCAGGUUCAAGUCCUGUUCCGCCCA